rnacentral:RNase_P_RNA from 3 species
UCAGCAAGAUGAGUGAUUGCCCGCCCAAAGCUAUGCGAUAGCAUUGUUGGCGGGAGGAAAGUCCGAACACUUCUUUGAUGAUUUCAAAGAGCAGGGUAGCGGGUAACGCCCGUCAGCGGUAACGUUAGAGGUGCGAGCAGAAACGCCGAGCUCGAAAGAGUGAGGCGCCCGUCCCGAAAGGGAAUGGGGCGAAUCCAAUUGAAAAAUUGGAAUGAAACGGCUAAAUCCUUACCUAAGUGCAAGAACAAACCCUUCGGCGAGCUCAGGGUAAAGCCCUGAAAAAUUCAUUUUCUGGAUUUUAAGCUUGUCAAAGGAGCAAAGUAGUUCGCUUGAUUCCGACAGCAAUGUCGAGAACAGAUAGAUAGUCACUUACCGCGAAAGCGGAAACAGAAUUCGGCUUAUAGUCUUGCUGAGACA